AUUGAACGCUGGCGGCAGGCCUAACACAUGCAAGUCGAGCGGUUGAGGUAGCUUGCUACCGAUGCAGCGGCGGACGGGUGAGUAAUACAUGGGAAUCUGCCUGGUAGUGGGGGACAACGUUUCGAAAGGAACGCUAAUACCGCAUACGCCCUACGGGGGAAAGGGGGGGAGCUUCGGACCUCUCGCUAUCAGAUGAGCCCAUGUCGGAUUAGCUUGUUGGUGAGGUAAAGGCUCACCAAGGCGACGAUCCGUAACUGGUCGGAGAGGAUGAUCAGUCACACUGGAACUGAGACACGGUCCAGACUCCCACGGGAGGCAGCAGUGGGGAAUAUUGGACAAUGGGCGCAAGCCUGAUCCAGCCAUGCCGCGUGUGUGAAGAAGGCCUUAGGGUUGUAAAGCACUUUCAGUGGGGAGAAAGGUCAUUCACCUAAUACGUGAGUGAAUUGAUGUUACCCACAGAAGAAGCACCGGCUAACUCCGUGCCAGCCGCCGCCGUAA
rnacentral:rRNA from 1 species